UACAGAGGGGGCGAGCGUUGUUCGGAAUUACUGGGCGUAAAGGGCGCGUAGGCGGCCUGCUAAGUCAUACGUGAAAUCCCUCGGCUCAACCGGGGAACUGCGUGUGAUACUGGCGGGCUUGGAAUCCGGGAGAGGAAUGCGGAAUUCCAGGUGUAGCGGUGAAAUGCGUAGAUAUCUGGAGGAACACCGGUGGCGAAGGCGGCAUUCUGGACCGGCAUUGGACGCGUGAGGCGCGAAAGCGUGGGGAGCGAGAGG
rnacentral:rRNA from 1 species